GGUCGGUUAGCUCAGUCGGUAGAGCAUCGCAAUUACAUCAAUCGCUCAAUGUGAGAAGUACUGCGAAGGCCAUAGGUUCAAGCCCUAUACUGACCA